rnacentral:rRNA from 1 species
UUUCGCGGCCCUUAUAGCUUGUUGGUGGGGUAACGGCCUACCAAGGCGAUUACGGGUAGCCGGCCUGAGAGGGCGACCGGCCACACUGGGACUGAGACACGGCCCAGACUCCUGCGGGAGGCAGCAGUGGGGAAUAUUGCGCAAUGGGCGAAAGCCUGACGCAGCGACGCCGCGUGGGGGAUGACGGCCUUCGGGUUGUAAACCUCUUUUACCACCAACGCAGGCUCCGGGUUCUCUCGGGGUUGACGGUAGGUGGGGAAUAAGGACCGGCUAACUACGUGCCAGCAGCCGCGGUAAUACGUAGGGUCCGAGCGUUGUCCGGAAUUAUUGGGCGUAAAGAGCUCGUAGGCGGCGUGUCGCGUCUGCUGUGAAAGACCGGGGCUUAACUCCGGUUCUGCAGUGGAUACGGGCAUGCUAGAGGUAGGUAGGGGAGACUGGAAUUCCUGGUGUAGCGGUGAAAUGCGCAGAUAUCAGGAGGAACACCGGUGGCGAAGGCGGGUCUCUGGGCCUUACCUGACGCUGAGGAGCGAAAGCAUGGGGAGCGAACAGGAUUAGAUACCCUGGUAGUCCAUGCCGUAAACGUUGGGCGCUAGGUGUGGGGACUCCACGUCCG